rnacentral:rRNA from 1 species
UCAGAGCGAACGUUAGCGGCGGGCCUAACACAUGCAAGUCGAACGCGAAAGGUCUUCGGACUGAGUAGAGUGGCGCACGGGUGAGUAACACGUAGGUAAUCUACCCUUUGGCGGGGGAUAACGUUCCGAAAGGAGCGCUAAUACCGCAUAAGACCACGGAGUCUCCGGACGCUGUGGGAAAAGGUGGCCUCUUCUUGAAAGCUACCACCGAAGGAUGAGCCUGCGUCCCAUCAGCUAGUUGGUAAGGUAAUGGCUUACCAAGGCGAAGACGGGUAGCUGGUUUGAGAGAAUGAUCAGCCACACUGGCACUGGAACACGGGCCAGACUCCUACGGGAGGCAGCAGUGAGGAAUAUUGGGCAAUGGGCGAAAGCCUGACCCAGCCACGCCGCGUGAGUGAUGAAGGCCCUCGGGUCGUAAAGCUCUGUGGAGAGGGACGAAAACCCUGGUUUCAAAUAGGCUCCAGGCUUGACGGUACCUCUUUAGCAAGCACCGGCUAACUCUGUA